UCCCUUAAGGGAAUGACAAGGUAACCCAGAGGGACAAGGAAAGCACUAUAAGGUUAUCCAGCGUAUGCCUCAUGGGCUUCGCCCUCCCCCAUCCAUAACAUCGUCACGGUGGGACGUAAGUUGCAGCGUAUUUCAGCAUCAACAACGUGGCCCUUAUUUUUUUUAGCUUGUUUCCCUAGGGAAACCUAACUAAAUCACAACGGAAUUAUACUAACAUACAGUGGCUGCGUGCCUAGGAUGUUUUUCACCGUACUAGUAUAGUGAGAACCAUCCUAAGCAACGCACUACACGCUUAACCUUUUGGACUUACUAACAUAAAAGCUCUUGUGGCCAAGCCCACGAGUAGCACCAUUAGCAGCUGCGGAGCAGGUGCCAUGCACCCAUGCUGAGGAUGUGGUAGUAUAUUGGUUACAUACUCCGUUGUAAAGGAAGCCCUGUGCUACUUGCCAUUGGUUACAACCAGAGGCUCCGCCCCAUGAGCGUAAGCAUCGUAGCUUAAAAAACCAUCGUCCUCGUUUAGAUAGACCAACGGCCGUUCGUUAAAGUUAAGACUAGUUUAGGCUUAAGCUCACAGAGCUAGCGCCGUGAGUUUGUUGUUUGACUACAAUGUAGUCAAACAACAAACUCACGGCGAAGUCGUUUAAGUGCCAUGUACGUGUUGUAGUUUAACUAGUAACAAGCCUAGUUAGUUAAACUACAUUUGUUUGUUUCACAUUCCCAGUACUUGUUGCUAAACUACAAGUAAACUGUUGUUAAACUACAAGUAAACCCCCCUAACGUAGUUAAGGUUUAGUGGACGAUCCGGCCUUACGCGGGAUAAUUCAUGUUUCACAAGGUCUUGUAGUUUCGAUGUAAGAUAUUAGUUAAGCUCUGUGCAACCCACCGACAUGUCUUCGGUAUGCCGCAGCUAUGUUUACCUCGACGUCAUUUGUAGGACAUUGUAGGGUUGUCAGAGACCAAGGAGUAGGCCUCGGCAUAUUUUGUAGACUUGUUGUAGACUUGUUGUAGACUUGGGACUUCGGCCCUAAGCUAUAAGGUUGUUUUUGUCUAAAAGCUUAGCUACACUAAGUUUGACGAUUUGGGAGAAAACCACAGGCUUCGGUUGGAUAGUUCUUCAUCCCCUAAAGGGGAACCGAAGGGGUUCCCCUUUAGGGGAAGACAACUAGGCUUACUUCUUUUCGAGCUACGAAUAAGCUAACAAAGCCACAAGCUAUUGCUCAAAGGCCUUCGGCCUACGUUGUCCCCUUCGGUUCCCCUAAAGGGGAUGAAGAUCUCCGCCUUACUUACANNN
rnacentral:lncRNA from 1 species